rnacentral:lncRNA from 1 species
GUAUUAUUCAUAAUCCCACGAUUUGGGUUGCCUCGAAGUCUACAGAGCGACAAUGGAGCAGCCUUUAAGGCAGCUGUCACUCAGGGGAUAUCAAAAGCCUUAGGCAUUAAAUAUCAUCUCCAUUGUGCUUGGAGACCUCAAUCCUCAGGAAAGGUAGAAAAAACUAAUGAUAUUUUAAAAAGACAUCUAAGAAAGCUCACUCAAGAAACCCACUACCCACGGCCUAAGGUGCUUCCUUUAGCACUGCUCAGAAUCAAGAACACCCCAAAGACAUUAGGGCUCAGCCCAUUUGAGCUCCUAUAUGGGAGACCAUUCCUAAGAAAUGAUAUUCUUAAAGACCAAGAAAGUGCAGAUCUAGUAACUCAUAUCACAAAGUUGGCCAAAUUUCAAGCUGAAAUUUGCAAGUAUCCUAUAUCUGAGCCAGUUACUUCUCCACCUCUAUAUGAGCCUGGAGAUCUAGUUAUGAUUAAGACCAUUCCUUCAAACUCUCCAAACUUAGACCCUAUUUGGAAAGGACCUUUUUCCGUAAUCUUAUCCACCCCUUCUGCAGUAAAGGUGCUGGGACAGGAGAAUUGGAUCCACCACUCUUGGAUUAAGGCCUGCCAUCCUGAGCCGAUACCCAAAGAGACUUCUUCUUCCCAAGAAACUGAGGAACGAUACUCCUGCACUCCAGUAGAGGACCUAAAGUAUCUAUUCCGCAGAGAAAAUGGUGAUAUGUAAACUUUUCCUUCUCUUUCUCUUUGUUACCAUAAACAGACCGACUGAAGCUAACUCUUUUCUAAUGUGGGCUCAACAAUAUGCCAUUAGGUUACAGAAAGAUAAUUGCUGGAUAUGUGGACUAUUACCCCUUUCCAGCACUUCUGGACUACCUUGGUGGGUAUCCCCAUUACAAGGAAAGGACUGGAAAAAUUUACAAUCCUUAAUGUUACAACAAAAGAAAGAAAGACCCUAUUUAAAAAAUGCCUCUCGUGCAGAUGUUAAUUUGUGGCCUAUAAAUGAAACUUUAUCACAACCUGGUCAUGGAAAGAUUUUCACUUUAAACCAGACUAACCUUCAGACGUCCUCUACUGUUAAAUCCCAUAUAGGCCCAUCUAAUUCUCUCCUUCCACUACCUGCACCAUCAAUAUGUCACAGGUAUAAAGAUGGUUAUUAUCAGAUUUGGGACGGAGAUUUAUGGCUCACUCCCACUAUUGGGCAUUUAAACCAAAAGGCCCCACUCUGUUGGGAACAGCGAAACCAUACCUAUGACACGUGGCCUAAUGCUACUCGAGAAUUAGGAUGGACUCCAGAGUCACAAUGUCAAAAAAUUAUAGUUUUACAAGCCAAUGAUUGGUUUGGAACAAAUUGGCUUUCUAGACCUAAAACUAUUUGGCCAGCACCCAAUGGGACUCAAUGGAUAUGUGGAACUAACCUAUGGCCCUGGCUUCCCCCAGGCUGGAUAGGAAGAUGUACUAUUGGGUACCCCUGGAUGCAGGGGAGAUGGACCCCAAAUAUAACACAGCCAGCAAACCUCCCCAAUCUCAAACACAGAUGGGGACGAUCUGUGUUCCAUUGGUAUGAUCAUCUAGCUUCUUUGUUUAUCCCACAAAUUGGUUUAGAAGAUGUAAUGUGGCAUGUGGAGACUUUAAACAAUUAUACUCAAACUGCCCUCCAUGAUGUUGAGGAAAGUAUCUCUCUCCUUAAUACUGAAAUAACACUUAUGAGGAAGGCCAUCUUACAAAAUUGAAUGGCUUUAGAUGUCCUCACUGCAGCCCAAGGUGGUACUUGUGCUGUUAUUAAAACUGAAUGUUGUGUUUACAUCCCUGACAAUUCUGGCAAUGUGACAAAUAUCCUUAAAGGUUUACAUACUCAGAUAGAAGCCAUGUCCUCACCAACUUUGUCAUGGGGACAAUAUCUUAGCUCCUGGUUCUCUGGUACUUCCUGGUGGAAAACAUUGUUAGUCUCUGUCUUUGGUAUCAUACUUAUUGGCAUAUUCCUGUGCUGUGGUAUUUAUUGCUGCAUCAAUAUGGUUCCAAUAUUAAUGAAUUCUUGUCUCUCUUAUAGACCGCCCAUCGCUCAAAUGGCCCUCCAGCCUAUUACUUCUCAAUCGGACUUCUAUCAUGGACCACUCGAUAGACCCAACUUUUAAAGGGGGACUCCAAACUGCUUGCCCAACAUCGUCCCUUUUGUCAGCCUGAAGAAGCCAGAACGGUCUUCGCCCCCAUUCCUUACAGCAGUAAGGAGUUCCCCAAAUUAGAGGGGGGAAUGAAGCCAGAUUUAAAAUUAGGUAGUCAGUGUAGUUAGGUAAAUCGGGUCUAAUAUCUAGUGAAAUCUAAAAUGGAGGCCAUGCAGAGAAUGACUCAGGGAGAACACAGGACAACU